CCAUCGGCCCUCUUCAGGGCCAUCAAACUAGCCGGUUAGAGAGUUG
rfam:Aedes aegypti strain Liverpool supercont1.111 genomic scaffold, whole genome shotgun sequence.